GACGAACGCUGGCGGCGUGCUUAACACAUGCAAGUCGAACGGAAAGGCCCUGCUUUUGUGGGGUGCUCGAGUGGCGAACGGGUGAGUAACACGUGAGUAACCUGCCCUUGACUUUGGGAUAACUUCAGGAAACUGGGGCUAAUACCGGAUAGGACCUCCUGCGGCAUGGUGGGGGUUGGAAAGUUUCGGCGGUUGGGGAUGGACUCGCGGCUUAUCAGCUUGUUGGUGGGGUAGUGGCUUACCAAGGCUUUGACGGGUAGCCGGCCUGAGAGGGUGACCGGCCACAUUGGGACUGAGAUACGGCCCAGACUCCUACGGGAGGCAGCAGUGGGGAAUAUUGCACAAUGGGCGGAAGCCUGAUGCAGCAACGCCGCGUGCGGGAUGACGGCCUUCGGGUUGUAAACCGCUUUCGCCUGUGACGAAGCGUGAGUGACGGUAAUGGGUAAAGAAGCACCGGCUAACUACGUG
rnacentral:rRNA from 1 species